rnacentral:rRNA from 1 species
GAUGAACGCUGGCGGCGUGCCUAAUACAUGCAAGUCGAACGCAUAGCGAAAGGUGCUUGCACCUUUCACGUGAGUGGCGAACGGGUGAGUAACACGUGGACAACCUGCCUCAAGGCUGGGGAUAACAUUUGGAAACAGAUGCUAAUACCGAAUAAAACUUAGUGUCGCAUGACACAAAGUUAAAAGGUGCUUCGGCGUCACCUAGAGAUGGAUCCGCGGUGCAUUAGUUAGUUGGUGGGGUAAAGGCCUACCAAGACAAUGAUGCAUAGCCGAGUUGAGAGACUGAUCGGCCACAUUGGGACUGAGACACGGCCCAAACUCCUACGGGAGGCUGCAGUAGGGAAUCUUCCACAAUGGGCGAAAGCCUGAUGGAGCAACGCCGCGUGUGUGAUGAAGGCUUUCGGGUCGUAAAGCACUGUUGUAUGGGAAGAACAGCUAGAAUAGGAAAUGAUUUUAGUUUGACGGUACCAUACCAGAAAGGGACGGCUAAAUACGUG